rnacentral:rRNA from 1 species
UACGGAGGGUGCGAGCGUUAAUCGGGAUUACUGGGCGUAAAGGGUGCGUAGGUGGUUGAUUAAGUUAUCUGUAAAAUCCCUGGGCUUAACCUGGGCAGGUCAGAUAAGACUGGUUGACUCGAGUAUAGGAGAGGGUAGUGGGAUUUCCGGUGUAGCGGUGAAAUGCGUAGAGAUCGGAAGGAACACCGGUGGCGAAGGCGGCUACCUGGCCUGAUACUGACACUGAGGCACGAAAGCGUGGGGAGCAAACAGG